rnacentral:rRNA from 1 species
UGCCAGCAGCCGCGGUAAUACGGAGGGAGCUAGCGUUGUUCGGAAUUACUGGGCGUAAAGCGUGCGUAGGCGGAUCGACAAGUUGGGGGUGAAAUCCCGGGGCUUAACCCCGGAACUGCCCUCAAAACUGUCGAUCUAGAGACCGGGAGAGGUAAGCGGAAUUCCUAGUGUAGAGGUGAAAUUCGUAGAUAUUAGGAAGAACACCAGUGUCGAAGGCGGCUUACUGUACCGGUACUGACGCUGAGUUACUGACGCGUGGGGCGCAAACAGUCUUCGAUA